GAUGAACGCUGGCGGCGUGCUUAACACAUGCAAGUCGAACGAUGAAGCCCAGCUUGCUGGGUGGAUUAGUGGCGAACGGGUGAGUAACACGUGAGUAACCUGCCCUUAACUCUGGGAUAAGCCUGGGAAACUGGGUCUAAUACCGGAUAGGAGCGUCCACCGCAUGGUGGGUGUUGGAAAGAUUUAUCGGUUUUGGAUGGACUCGCGGCCUAUCAGCUUGUUGGUGAGGUAAUGGCUUACCAAGGCGACGACGGGUAGCCGGCCUGAGAGGGUGACCGGCCACACUGGGACUGAGACACGGCCCAGACUCCUACGGGAGGCAGCAGUGGGGAAUAUUGCACAAUGGGCGAAAGCCUGAUGCAGCGACGCCGCGUGAGGGAUGACGGCCUUCGGGUUGUAAACCUCUUUCAGUAGGGAAGAAGCGAAAGUGACGGUACCUGCAGAAGAAGCACCGGCUAACUACGUG
rnacentral:rRNA from 1 species